rnacentral:rRNA from 1 species
AUACGGAGGAUCCGAGCGUUAUCCGGAUUUAUUGGGUUUAAAGGGAGCGUAGGCGGAUUAUUAAGUCAGUUGUGAAAGUUUGCGGCUCAACCGUAAAAUUGCAGUUGAUACUGGUAGUCUUGAGUGCAGCAGAGGUAGGCGGAAUUCGUGGUGUAGCGGUGAAAUGCUUAGAUAUCACGAAGAACUCCGAUUGCGAAGGCAGCUUACUGGACUGUAACUGACGCUGAUGCUCGGAAGUGUGGGUAUCAAACAGGAUUAGAUACCCUGGUAGUCCACACAGUAAACGAUGAAUACUCGCUGUUUGCGAUAUACAGCAAGCGGCCAAGCGAAAGCAUUAAGUAUUCCACCUGGGGAGUACGCCGGCAACGGUGAAACUCAAAGGAAUUGACGGGG